CAACCUCAUGGUUCCUAGUCGGAUUCGUUAACCACUGCGCCACGACCGGAACUCCUAUUCUCUUGGUUUUACAAAGAGCUUGUUUGUGUUUUCAGAACUGGCUGGUUGAGAUGAAAUACAGGCGCAGAUGAAAUGUUUUCCGACAAGAAAAGAACCACAAUCUUUUACCGUGGGGCUCCAUUUCCUGCAGUCUCAUCGCCAACACCCCCCUUCCCUCAUCCCCGCAGCCUUGGAAUUGGCCAUCAAGCUGACAGACUCAUUUAAGUGCUGCCAAAGGCACUGAACAAAUAAAAGGCAUCAUUUAUGUC